rnacentral:lncRNA from 1 species
UGGAUCAAAACUGCAGCAUCAGCUCUUCCUGGAAAUGUGGGCCUGCUGGUGUUUCUCAUGAAAUUUGAACUUUUAAACAUUCACAAUUACAUGAGCCAACUGAUUUGAAGAACUCUCUCCUAUAGAUCUGUAGUACAUGAAAACUCUGGUACAGAGGGCAAUUGGCAAAACAUGUUUCCUACUAAUGGGUUAAUGGAUUUACCUAUUUGGAAGUAACAACACUAUCAAGACUCAUAUAAAGAGGUAGUCUCUAAUCAGGCAAGAAAGGAAGAUUCAUCUUUCACUUCAAUUAAUCAGAGAAGUAAGGCAUUAAUUAUUUAUGUAGGUAUUUUAUAUUAC